rnacentral:RNase_P_RNA from 1 species
GUCUUAUGUUGGACAAUUGCGGUUCGCCUCGGCGAACUGAGGAAAGUCCGAACACUCCCCGAUAUUUUUAUUGGGAGCAGAGUAGCGGGUAAUACCCGUCGUGUGCAAACACAGGGAUGCGAGCAGUGACGCCCGAGUCGAGAGACGAGGGGUCCCUUUGGGGAUAUUCUUUUGGAAACAAAAGAGUGAAACGGCAAAAUUCCUACUUGGGUGCAAGGCCGUACUGUCAGUGCUUCGCAUUGACAGGGUGCCGCUUGACCUUACAAGCAAUUGCAAGGCUAGAUAAAUAAUUGUCGCCCGCUUUUAAAGGCGAGUACAGAAUUCGGCUUAUAGACAUAAGACGUAA